rnacentral:rRNA from 1 species
GACGAACGCUGGCGGCGUGCUUAACACAUGCAAGUCGAACGGAAAGCCCUUGCUUCUUUGGUGUGCUCAACUGACUAACGAAUGGGUAACUAGUGCGUAAUCUGCCCUUCCCUUUGGGAUGACUUCCGGAAGCUGGGGCCUGCUCCUGCUAGGUACUCCCUCUUCAUGGUGUGGGUGGGAGAGUUUCGGCGGUUGGGGAUGGUCUCGCGGCUUUUCAGCUUGUUGGUGGGGUAGUGUCUUACCAAGGCUUUGACGGGUAGCCGGACUGAGAGGGUGACAGGCCACAUUGGGACAGAGAUACGGCCCAGACUCAUACGGGAGGAAGCAGUGGGGAAUAUUGCAAAAUGGGCGGAAGCCUGAUGCAGCAACGCCGCGUGCGGGAUGACGGCCUUCGGGUUGUAAACCGCUUUCGCCUGUGACGAAGCGUGAGUGACGGUAAUGGGUAAAGAAGCAACGGCUAACUACGUG